rnacentral:rRNA from 1 species
UACGUAGGGUGCGAGCGUUAAUCGGAAUUACUGGGCGUAAAGCGUGCGCAGGCGGUUUUGUAAGUCAGAUGUGAAAUCCCCGGGCUUAACCUGGGAACUGCGUUUGAAACUACAAGGCUAGAGUGUGGCAGAGGGGGGUGGAAUUCCACGUGUAGCAGUGAAAUGCGUAGAGAUGUGGAGGAACACCGAUGGCGAAGGCAGCCCCCUGGGCCGAUACUGACGCUCAGGCACGAAAGCGUGGGGAGCAAACAGG